CAGUCGCCGCGGUAACACGAAGGGUGCAAGCGUUACUCGGAAUUACUGGGCGUAAAGCGUGCGUAGGUGGUUGUUUAAGUCUGCUGUGAAAGCCCUGGGCUCAACCUGGGAAUUGCAGUGGAUACUGGGCGACUAGAGUAAGGUAGAGGAUAGUGGAAUUUCCGGUGUAGCAGUGAAAUGCGUAGAGAUCGGAAGGAACAUCUGUGGCGAAGGCGACUAUCUGGGCCAUUACUGACGCUGAGGUACGAAAGCAUGGGGAGCAAACAGGAUUAGAGACCCCUGUAGUCCCUGUCUCUUAUAA
rnacentral:rRNA from 1 species